GGGCUCGCGGCCUAUCAGCUUGUUGGUGAGGUAAUGGCUCACCAAGGCGUCGACGGGUAGCCGGCCUGAGAGGGUGACCGGCCACACUGGGACUGAGACACGGCCCAUAUACAUACGGGAGGCAGCAGUGGGGAAUAUUGCACAAUGGGCGCAAGCCUGAUGCAGCAACGCCGCGUGAGGGAUGACGGCCUUCGGGUUGUAAACCUCUUUUAGCAGGGAAGAAGCGAGAGUGACGGUACCUGCAGAAAAAGCACCGGCUAACUACGUGCCAGCAGCCGCGGUAAUACGUAGGGUGCAAGCGUUAUCCGGAAUUAUUGGGCGUAAAGAGCUCGUAGGCGGUUUGUCGCGUCUGCUGUGAAAUCUGGGGGCUCAACCCCCAGCCUGCAGUGGGUACGGGCAGACUAGAGUGCGGUAGGGGAGAUUGGAAUUCCUGGUGUAGCGGUGGAAUGCGCAGAUAUCAGGAGGAACACCGAUGGCGAAGGCAGAUCUCUGGGCCGUAACUGACGCUGAGGAGCGAAAGGGUGGGGAGCAAACAGGCUUAGAUACCCUGGUAGUCCACCCCGUAAACGUUGGGAACUAGUUGUGGGGUCCAUUCCACGGAUUCCGUGACGCAGCUAACGCAUUAAGUUCCCCGCCUGGGGAGUACGGCCGCAAGGCUAAAACUCAAAGGAAUUGACGGGGACCCGCACAAG
rnacentral:rRNA from 1 species